UCAAGUACCAGAUUAACAAUCGCUCCUUCCACAGGAGGUAUCAGAAUCAGAGGCUCCUGCAACUUAUUCUAUUAUCUUUCAAUGCCCCUUGGCAAUCAUUGGUUCACCUGACCGUUUGAUCUCUUUUCUUGAAUAGGUUCCCACGUGGCUGUUAGAUGAGAUGUGAACCAUGACAGGUAGUUCAAUCUAUCUAUGAAACCACGAACCUCUCCUUUAUGUUCUCGGUUC
rnacentral:lncRNA from 1 species